UACGAAGGGGGCUAGCGUUGCUCGGAAUCACUGGGCGUAAAGGGUGCGUAGGCGGGUCUUUUAGUCAGGGGGGAAAUCCUGGAGCUCAACUCCAGAACUGCCUUUGGUACUGAAGAUCUUGAGUUCGGGAGAGGUGAGUGGAACUGCGAGUGUAGAGGUGAAAUUCGUAGAUAUUCGCAAGAACACCAGUGGCGAAGGCGGCUCACUGGCCCGAUACUGACGCUGAGGCACGAAAGCGUGGGGAGCAAACAGG
rnacentral:rRNA from 1 species